rnacentral:rRNA from 1 species
GAUGAACGCUGGCGGCGUGCCUAAUACAUGCAAGUCGAGCGAACAGAUAAGGAGCUUGCUCCUUUGACGUUAGCGGCGGACGGGUGAGUAACACGUGGAUAACCUACCUAUAAGACUGGGAUAACUCCGGGAAACCGGGGCUAAUGCCGGAUAAUAUAUAGAACCGCAUGGUUCUAAAGUGAAAGAUGGUUUUGCUGUCACUUAUAGAUGGAUCCGCGCCGCAUUAGCUAGUUGGUAAGGUAACGGCUUACCAAGGCAACGAUGCGUAGCCGACCUGAGAGGGUGAUCGGCCACACUGGAACUGAGACACGGUCCAGACUCCUACGGGAGGCAGCAGUAGGGAAUCUUCCGCAAUGGGCGAAAGCCUGACGGAGCAACGCCGCGUGAGUGAUGAAGGUCUUCGGAUCGUAAAACUCUGUUAUUAGGGAAGAACAAAUGUGUAAGUAACUGUGCACGUCUUGACGGUACCUAAUCAGAAAGCCACGGCUAACUACGUG